rnacentral:lncRNA from 1 species
UUCUCAUCUAAAAAAAAUUGAAUUUGUGUGAUGAGACAAUUGAAAUUGGGUUAGUGUUCAGUGUUUUAUCUUUCUCAUCUUUUCGGUAUACCGCUUCGCGAGCAAAGAGCUCUACGACUGCAGCAUUAAAUGGCUUAAUAGGAAAUUAAUAGGAAGAGGAGUUGGUUGGAAUAGAAUUAGAAUAGGAAAUAGGGGAGUUGGUUGGAAUAGGACUGGAAUAGGAAAUAGGGGAGUUGGUUGGAAUUCUAAUUAAGUCAUGCUGCAAA